rnacentral:rRNA from 1 species
GCUACGGGUGGCAGCAGUGGGGAAUAUUGCGCAAUGGGCGAAAGCCUGAACCAGCCAUGCCGCGUGCAGGAAGACGGCUCUAUGAGUUGUAAACUGCUUUUGUACGAGGGUAAACGCAGAUACGCGUAUCUGUCUGAAAGUAUCGUACGAAUAAGGAUGGGCUAACUCCGUGCCAGCAGCCGCGGUAAUACGGAGGAUUCAAGCGUUAUACGGAUUUAUUGGGGUUAAAGGGUGCGUAGGCGGGGUGUUAAGUUAGCGGUGAAAUCCCGAGGCUCAACUUCGGAAUUGCCUCUGAUACUGUUCGGCUGGAGAGUAGUUGCGGUAGGCGGAAUGUAUGGUGUAGCGGUGAAAUGCUUAGAGAUCAUACAGAACACCGAUUGCGAAGGCAGCUUACCAAGCUACUUCUGACGUUGAGGCACGAAAGCGUGGGGAGCAAACAGGAUUAGAUACCCCAGUAGUC